GACGAACGCUGGCGGCGUGCUUAACACAUGCAAGUCGAACGAUGAAGCUGGAGCUUGCUCCGGUGGAUUAGUGGCGAACGGGUGAGUAACACGUGAGCAAUCUGCCCUUGACUCUGGGAUAACUGCGGGAAACUGUAGCUAAUACCGGAUACGAGGCUCGAAGGCAUCUUCGGGUCUGGAAAGAAUUUCGGUCAAGGAUGAGCUCGCGGCCUAUCAGCUUGUUGGUGAGGUAAUGGCUCACCAAGGCGACGACGGGUAGCCGGCCUGAGAGGGUGGCCGGCCACACUGGGACUGUGACACGGGCCAGACUCCUACGGGAGGCAGCAGUGGGGAAUAUUGCACCAUGGGCGAAAGCCUGAUGCAGCAACGCCGCGUGAGGGAUGAAGGCCUUCGGGUUGUAAACCUCUUUUAGCAGGGAAGAAGCGUAAGUGACGGUACCUGCAGAAAAAGCACCGGCUAACUACGUGCCAGCCGCCGCAGUAA
rnacentral:rRNA from 1 species